UAGGGAAUCUUCCGCAAUGGGCGAAAGCCUGACGGAGCAACGCCGCGUGAGUGAUGAAGGUCUUCGGAUCGUAAAACUCUGUUAUUAGGGAAGAACAAAUGUGUAAGUAACUAUGCACGUCUUGACGGUACCUAAUCAGAAAGCCACGGCUAACUACGUGCCAGCAGCCGCGGGAAUACGUAGGUGGCAAGCGUUAUCCGGAAUUAUUGGGCGUAAAGCGCGCGUAGGCGGUUUUUUAAGUCUGAUGUGAAAGCCCACGGCUCAACCGUGGAGGGUCAUUGGAAACUGGAAAACUUGAGUGCAGAAGAGGAAAGUGGAAUUCCAUGUGUAGCGGUGAAAUGCGCAGAGAUAUGGAGGAACACCAGUGGCGAAGGCGACUUUCUGGUCUGUAACUGACGCUGAUGUGCGAAAGCGUGGGGAUCAAACAGG
rnacentral:rRNA from 1 species